rnacentral:rRNA from 1 species
UAUCAGCCUUUUGGGCAUGAUUCUGUGGAGCGUGAGGAGUUAAACGCCUUCAUGCCUGCAUAUUCGUGUACUUUGGGUGUACUUGCCUGUGUGGUUAGUUAACAUCAAUUUUGGUUAUCAUAAAAUGGUUGGAGGAAUGUAGCUUCGGUUUCGAUUGAAGUGUUAUAGCCUUCGGCAGAUGUGAUGAUUGGGAUUGAGGAUUGCAACGGAUACCCUUCGGGGCUACCUGUCUGGUCUCUGAUCGUUGCUUUGGUGCCGAAAGCGUGCUUACGGUUAUCAAAGUCGAUGGUCAAUAGGUUAGAACGGGUUAAAUUCGUUAAGGAUGUUGACGUA